ACGGGGGGAAGAACCAACAGGGAUUGCCCUAGUAACGGCGAGUGAAGCGGCAUCAGCUCAAAUUUGAAAUCUGGCUCUUUUAGGGUCCGAGUUGUAAUUUGCAGAGGGCGCUUUGGCGUUGGCAGCGGUCCAAGUUCCUUGGAACAGGACGUCACAGAGGGUGAGAAUCCCGUACGUGGUCGCUGGCCUUCGCCGUGUAAAGCCCCUUCGACGAGUCGAGUUGUUUGGGAAUGCAGCUCUAAAUGGGAGGUAAAUUUCUUCUAAAGCUAAAUACUGGCCAGAGACCGAUAGCGCACAAGUAGAGUGAUCGAAAGAUGAAAAGCACUUUGGAAAGAGAGUCAAAUAGCACGUGAAAUUGUUGAAAGGGAAGCGCUUGCAGCCAGACUUGCCUGUAGUUGCUCAUCCGGGCUUUUGCCCGGUGCACUCUUCUGCGGGCAGGCCAGCAUCAGUCUGGACGGUUGGAUAAAGGCCUCUGUCAUGUACCUCCUUUCGGGGAGGCCUUAUAGGGGAGGCGCCAUGCAGCCAGUCUGGACUGAGGUCCGCGCAUCUGCUAGGAUGCUGGCGUAAUGGCUGUAAGCGGCCCGUCUUGAAACACGGACCAAGGAGUCUAACAUCUAUGCGAGUGUUUGGGUGUCAAGCCCGAACGCGUAAUGAAAGUGAACGGAGGUGGGAUCCCUUUAGGGUGCACCAUCGACCGAUCCUGAUGUCUUCGGAUGGAUUUGAGUAAGAGCAUGGCUGUUGGGACCCGAAAGAUGGUGAACUAUGCUUGAAUAGGGUGAAGCCAGAGGAAACUCUGGUGGAGGCUCGCAGCGGUUCUGACGUGCAAAUCGAUCGUCAAAUUUGGGCAUAGGGGCGAAAGACUAAUCGAACUAUCUAGUAGCUGGUUCCUGCCGAGUCUCUCCCCUCAGGAACAAAA
rnacentral:rRNA from 1 species